rnacentral:rRNA from 1 species
AUGGAAGUUAGUGCACAUACCGGUGACGUCCCCGAAUCCCCUCAGAAUGUUCGCCAGGUUGUCCACAUCUCUUUUGAUGGGCGCAACAAACACAGCCGCAUCGUCCGCGUAAAGAGAGGUACGCAUGAUGACCCCUCUCCCACGAAUCUUGUGCAAAAGGCCUUUCCUAGUUGCCGUGUCGAGGAUUUGCUUCAAAGGGUCGAUGGCAAUGACAAAAAGGAGAGGAGAGAUGGGGUUCCCCUGCCGAAGCCCUUGGCCAUGCUUGAUGGGAGAGCCGGCUACCCCAUUCAAGAGAACCCUCGAAGAUGA